GUGUGUGUGUGUGUGUGUGUGUGUGUGUGUGUGAGUGUGUGUGUGUGUGUGUGUAUAUGUGUGCAUGUGUGCAUGCAUGUAUAUAUAUAUGUAUGUAUUUAUUUGUAUAUAUGUGUAUAUAUAUAUGUUGGUGCAAAAAUCCGCCUACGUCGGAGAAGCUGGAGUCGAGGGAGUCGCGGUCGCCGCCGGGACCUGCAAAGGAAGUCUAAACCGGAGUUAGGGUUGCUCCGGCAAGACCCUCCGAUGCUCAAGUCAGUUCUCUUCCUCAACAAGAAUGGAGUGCUCGAAUGGAAAUUUUAGCAAAAUUUUGGGAUAGAAAUUAGAGCAUAGAAAAUAAUGUAUCUGGGGUCCCCCCCUUUUAUAGGCGGAGGGC
rnacentral:lncRNA from 1 species